CAGAGUUAACUUUACAUGUUCAUUUUCAAUUAUUAAUUAAAUAUAAAUAUAAAUAAAUAUAAUAAAUAUAAUAAAUAAAUAUAAAUAAAUAUAAUAAAUUAAAUAAAUAGAGCA
rnacentral:rRNA from 14 species